CCUACGGGUGGCAGCAGUGGGGAAUAUUGUACAAUGGGGGAAACCCUGAUGCAGCGACGCCGCGUGAGUGAAGAAGUACUUCGUUAUGUAAAGCUCUAUCAGCAGGGAAGAAAAUGACGGUACCUGAGUCAGAAGCCCCGGCUAAAUACGUGCCAGCAGCCGCGGUAAUACGUAGGGGGCAAGCGUUAUCCGGAUUUACUGGGGGUAAAGGGAGCGUAGACGGCAGUGCAAGUCUGGAGUGAAAGGCGGGGGCUCAACCCCCGGACUGCUCUGGAAACUGUACGGCUUGAGUGCAGGAGAGGUAAGUGGAAUUCCUAGUGUAGCGGUGAAAUGCGUAGAUAUUAGGAGGAACACCAGUGGCGAAGGCGGCUUACUGGACUGUAACUGACGUUGAGGCUCGAAAGCGUGGGGAGCGAACAGGAUUAGAUACCCGAGUAGUC
rnacentral:rRNA from 1 species